rnacentral:lncRNA from 7 species
UGUGUUGCAGAGCUACCUUGAGGCACUGGCCAAAACCAGUCUCUAUUCAGCAAGGCACCAUGCAGGUAUACAACAGAGGACAGUCUUUGCUCCAAAGGAUUGCUCCCUUAACCUGUACAACUCUGCUCAGUAGCUCCUGCCUUGUGGUCCUCUCCGUUUAAAAGGGACAGUUCUUAGGAAACUUCAGAAGCCAGAGAUUUUGAGCUUCAGACUAAACCAAGGCAAAUUCCAGCAACAUAAGGCACUAUGCAAAACUCAUUGAAGAUUAAUUGAUUUGGAGGAGAAGGCAACAGAGAGGUGAUUGAAAGGAACUCAGCAAAAGAACUUCCCAUUUUCUAGUAAAGGAAAUAGUAUUCUGGAGUAUCCUAUGUCUUUACAGAUUACAUCAUCUGGAUAUGUCCUAGAGACCAGCUUGUGGUACAGACGCUGUAGAAUACUGCCCUUCCUUCAGAUCCAUGACUGUAAAAAUAGAUGCAAUAUACAAACGUGAAUUUCUGCAGCGCAAGCUGAGGAGACAAAAUCCCUUUUUGGCCGAUAUAGCAUCUCAGCAUUAGGGCUGGUUUGUGCUUCUGUUAAUUCCUGAUACUUUGCACUGGUCUUUAGUAUGCAUUUGGUUAUCUGGUAAUAUUUUCCCUGGCACAAAAACACUGAUCAUCUUUCUAAUGGGGAGCAUAGUAAUUUGAAGCAUAUUCAUGUUUGUGCUAAAAGACCACAGUCGCAAAGUAUAAUCCAAAAGAUUGUUAUGUGAUAGAUUAUGCGUGACAGGAUUUAGGAAAAUGUCACAUAUCAGACACACAGGCCAACAGUAUAUAACAGGACUGCUGCCUCUGGCAGCUUGAUUCUAGCAGAUUUCUAAUCAUGUGUAUUUCAAGAUGAUAAGAGGCAUGCAAGAAAUCUUUUACAGCUUUUGAGGAGUACUCCAGACCAAAAUGAAGGGCAUACUUGGUUGUAUACAAUAUUGAGGAAAUUUUUGUACCAGCAAUAUUAAAUUUCACUGU